GCUGAUUGCAGCACUCUGAUCAGCCAUGCCGCGUGCAGGAAGACGGCCCUAUGGGUUGUAAACUGCUUUUGUACGGGAGAAAACCCUUUCACGUGUGAGAGGUUGAUAGUACCGUAAGAAUAAGCAUCGGCUAACUUCGUGCCAGCAGCCGCGGUAAGACGAAGGAUGCAAGCGUUAUCCGGAUUCAUUGGGUUUAAAGGGAGCGUAGGUGGACUUGUAAGUCAGUGGUGAAAUCUCUCAGCUUAACUGAGAAACUGCCAUUGAUACUGCAGGUCUUGAGUACAGAUGAUGUGGGCGGAAUAUGACAUGUAGUGGUGAAAUACUUAGAUAUGUCAUAGAACACCGAUUGCGAAGGCAGCUCACAAAACUGUAACUGACACUGAGGCUCGAAAGUGCGGGGAUCAAACAGGAUUAGAUACCCUGGUAGUCCGCACCGUAAACGAUGAUUACUCGUUGUUAGCGAUAUGACAGUUAGCGACCAAGCGAAAGCGAUAAGUAAUCCACCUGGGGAGUACGCCGGCAACGGUGAAACUCAAAGAAAUUUUGACGGAAUGC
rnacentral:rRNA from 1 species